UGGGGAAUAUUGGACAAUGGGCGAAAGCCUGAUCCAGCCAUGCCGCGUGUGUGAAGAAGGUCUUCGGAUUGUAAAGCACUUUAAGUUGGGAGGAAGGGCAGUAAGUUAAUACCUUGCUGUUUUGAUGUUACCGACAGAAUAAGCACCGGCUAACUCUGUGCCAG
rnacentral:rRNA from 1 species